rnacentral:misc_RNA from 1 species
GAAAUAAAGCAGUAGAGGGUGGACUCGGACACAGUUGGGGAUGCUGGCCUCAAUCCAAUCCUAGGUUCUCUUCAAUUUCUUCCAUGCUUUAUACCCAAUUACCCAUUUCUCUCUUUCUCCAUUGUUUGUUUGCCAUAAGCUGUAAUUCUCAUGUAUAUGCUUAAGAAUCUGAAACAAACCCAGUUCAGUUUCUGUGAAUCUGAUGCAGGGGCUGUUCAAUUUUGGAGAAUCUGAAACGAAUUCCUGGUUGAUUAGUUUUUGUCUCUUUUAGUGCUGUGUACUUUCAUUAGAAGCUACUACAAUUAAAGAAUCUAAGACAGAGUCAUUUAAAUUCCAGGUUUGAAUCUGUUUCCUUUGCUUUUGCUGUUUUGACAAAGAGGGAUUAUCUUGGUAGCUGGAUCUCUUUGCUUCAGUAUCCAGUGGUUGUUCUACGUAGGCAAAUAAAUAUUCAUUCCCAUGAUUCAAUUUUGAAUUGCUGGAUAAAUUCGUAAAUAAUCAGUAAAACUAGUAUGUUGCCUGAGUUCUGUGGUUCAAGCUUGCUUCUAGCUCUGCCAGAUGAUUUGUUUGCAAUUAUAUCUCGUUCACUUUCGCCUAGGGACAUCUGUAGUCUCAGUCUUUGCUGCCGGAGUUUAUGUGCUCUUGUGGCCUCUGAAAAGGUUUGGCUAACCCAAUGUGACAUUCUGGGUAUUGUUCCUCAUCAGGACCUCAUUGAAUGGAGAAAGGGUGUUUCAUCUUAUAGGGCACUUUGUCGUUUCCUUGUGAGUGUUAAGCCAUUAAUUGGAAUUUGGGUUCAUCAAAACCCUGAGCUAGGUAAUGUGGUAUAUGUCAUGCCUGGUUUUGUGUCUGUUGUUGGAUGUCGGAUAAUACCACAAGAGCUUGGCCCUCUGGGAAUUGAAGAUGGCCCCAUACUGUGGGCACCAGUGUUUGAAAUAAUAGGAGACCUUGAUGGUUCUAUUUUAUUUUUUCUACAUGGAAGAGAAAAAGGAAAUGAUUAUGUUUAUCCUGGUUCAGUCAAGUCUGUUGAACAGAAUUGCAAUGUACUAUUGCUUGAGGUUGAGCCUAGGCCACAAAUGAUUGUGAAUACAUUAUUGCAUAGUAAAAGCUUUGCUUACAGUUCAGAUAAGGAGAUAUCAGGAAAGAUUACUAGGUCAAAUAGUGGAUUAUCAAGGUCACAGAGGAUGCUUGGACGGUGUGAUGCUAAGGUGCCUUUUAGCCGCUUGGCUUUUAGUGACAGAAGAAAAUUGAUUGAGGUUGUUACAAGCCAAGUUCAUCAAACUGUACCUGAUUCAGUAAAUGAGCCACUAUUUCCUCGGUUGAGGAGUGAUGAAGAGAACUUUCAGAAAGACAUUGUGCUCUUAUUUGAAAGGAGAUCCCUGCUUCUUCA